CAGGCUCCCAUCCUUCCCAGCUGUGCCACAGCUCGGCCGCCAGGUGGCGCAGUCGCGCCGCGCCGCGGGGGUUUCCCCGAGGGGGCGGCCCGUGGUGGGGACCAUCGGGAGCUUUCCCGGGGGAACAGCGCCAGGAAGUGGUGGGGAUCACAGGGAGCCUCCCCGGGGGUGGUCGGGACCAUCAGGAGCUUUCCCCGCAGGCAACCCUGGGAGUUGGUGGCCCAUAGCGGGGCUCAGAGGUUUCCCUAAGGGGACAACUGCACAGCAGCCCCCCCGGCAUCACUGCCAGUGAUCCUGGGAGUUUGGUUUCCCACAUUCUAUAGAGUUGGGAGCUCGGCAGCAGUGAGCCCGCAUUGUGUCCAGCUGUGGUGCACCCUCCUGAGAGCUGUUGUGUUUUCUAUUGCCUGGAGUAUUAACAGAUGAAAUUGUGCGAGAAAGGCUGCCUCUUUCCGUCGUCGAGUUGGCAUCGCUGUAACCGGUGACAUAAGCACAGCGAGAAGCAAAGGCGGUUUGGCUGUUAAAGCCUCAAACCCACCUGAUGUCCGCAGGUGAUGGACACAGCUGUGCAGCCGCCCCGCAGCUCUCCCCGUCCACAUGUGCUCUCUCCCGUUCACACUGAAGAUCCCUGCGGGGCAGCAAGGGCUUGGCUCCACGGGAACGCCAGGCAGUGCUGCAGGGGAAGCAGCGUCACCAUCUCCCACGGACCCCCUCAUUCCUGCAGAGACCCCCAUCCUUCGGAUGCUUUUUGCGACAAGAUCUCUCCUGGUCUCCCAGGCAGCUGGAGAGCCACCCUCCACGAGAGGGAGUGUUUGCAGGGAUUUUUAUCCCAGCUGGACUGUUUAUCUUUUCCCAGUUGUUUUCAAGCAGGGGUGCACCCCUGCAGUUGGGGGCCAGCCUCAGGCUGACGGAGCAGGCAGCCGGAGCCCUUCACCUGCGUCACACACUGCAUUAAACACCUGAUUUUCUGGAGCUGGGAGAAAACUGGGCAGAAAUCUGACCUUUCCUGAGAGAAUCGUCAUGCUGUCACGCGCUGCGCUUUUGUGAGACGAGUGGAAUUCCUGCUCUUUCCCCAUGGUGGGUGGCAGGGUCCCGUCUCUGUGUCCCACCAUGAGAACCGGAGGAUAUUUUUCCUUCUUUCAGCCCAUUCACCAAAGAGAGGAAGAAGUCCCUCUUACUGGGGUGACUGGGUUGCAGCCCAACCUUUCUGCAGGCAGUGGUCUGGGACAGCUGAGAACUCUUUGUGGUUCGAAGCGCUGCAGUGAUUCGGGCUGUGCCCGGGUCAUUUGCCGAGUGGUUUGGAUGCUUUCCCUCCAUCACCCUGGUAGCAGAGCACCGCUGGAAAAGAUGGACAUGACUUCAGUGAGGACAAACUGUCCAGCUCGUAAAAGAUAGCUGCAGCGUGUGAUGAGUGUGACAUACACCAUGCCUGCGACUGGGCAGGCGGCACUGCGAGGUUGUGCCCUCUCCGCCUGCUGUCUGGGACAAGGACAGGAGCAGAACAGCGGCAGCAGCGACGCCAGGACCUGGGGCUGCAGCAGCAGCGGCACCGCAGCGGGAUAAGGAUGCUCACGUGUGAGCUGCCCAAUGCAGCCUAGGGUGCAUUCAAGGUGUGUCACAUAUGAGCUGUGGGUUUGUGCAUCCCUUUCCCCCUGUGCUUCUCUCUUGGUGUCCAAUUAAAACACCCUGACAUUGCUGCCAUUCCAUCUCCCACCGGCCAACGGAGACCUGCUGCAGGGCACGGAGAUGUCCCUCUGGAGAGCCCGCAGCUGCGCUUGGGGCUCAAGCAGACCUCCAUGCAUCCCCCCCUCUGCAUGGUGUCAUCACUUGUGGGGACAUGGACCUUUCUGGCAGUGAGUGCCUAAAGCCACUCCACCUUCAGCCCCAUGGUGGGCAUGUCCUGUCCUGCUCUGCUUCUCCAGGCAGGGCAAUGGAGAGUCCUGGGGCUGUGUCUGGAGGGGUUUGGUGUCCUGCAGACCUUGGCUUUGGGGAUAAAAGCUGUGCGGGUGGGUGUGUGGCUGGGAUUUCAGGGGCUCGGCAUCUUCUCCUGCUUGGCUUUUUGGGGGAGGGUUGUGGAAGAGCUUGGCAUCAACUCUGCUGCUCUCCGAGAGUUCAGCGACUUUCUGAACCCUGGUGAAAAUUGAGCUGCUCUGAAGAACCGGCCACAGCAGUGGUGCUAAACUGGUCCAAACGCUGACACCGUACUGGUUGCACUGAUUUUUUCUAAUAUGGUUAAUUCCUGGUCCAGCUCCUCCCUGCCAGGAGUUCUCAGGGAAGGAGAGAAUGGGUUCCUGGGAGGUGCUCAAUGCUUUAGAGGCACAGCCCAGACCAGAGAGAAAUCAGCUUCUUCUGCCCCCAAGGAAACACAUUUCCCACUCUGGGAGGAACAGCUCUGAGCAGGGAUGGGACAGCAGAGAUUUUACUCUUGAAUUUCCAUGUAAACAGCCCUCGCGCUUCCUCCUGGGACCUCUCCCAGGGGAGUCCACGGGGCACUGCUUGUCCUGGGUGCUUUCCCAUCAGGUUACCCUGCACCAAGAGGGCCGUCCUCCUGGCGUGGACUGUGCAUGUGUGGCUCAGCCCUGCUAAUAACAGCUGUGUGUGUUUUUCCAGUCAUUAAAUGUAUGACUAAUAGAGAUGUCCUGGCUACAUAAUGCACGCUGACAACAAGGAGCCUCAGGGGAGGGGAGCAGAAAUAGAGGCAUAUGAAGGAAACGGCUUGAAUUUAUCCUCCAGACAACAGAUAUGUCCUCCCUGUAGGUGUUACAUCUCUUCUGUGCUGGGACGGGAGGCUGGGGAGCGGAGUUGCCUUUUGCCACCCUUCUAGUUGCAGCUGCCUGGGGCCGCAUGUGCCUGCCUAUCCAUCCCAGGCCAUUGGAUGCAA